AGUUUGAUCCUGGCUCAGGAUGAACGCUAGCUACAGGCUUAACACAUGCAAGUCGAGGGGCAGCGGGAUUGAAGCUUGCUUCAAUUGCCGGCGACCGGCGCACGGGUGAGUAACGCGUAUCCAACCUUCCGUACACUCAGGGAUAGCCUUUCGAAAGAAAGAUUAAUACCUGAUGGUAUGAUGAGAUUGCAUGAUAGCAUCAUUAAAGAUUUAUCGGUGUACGAUGGGGAUGCGUUCCAUUAGGUAGUAGGCGGGGUAACGGCCCACCUAGCCAACGAUGGAUAGGGGUUCUGAGAGGAAGGUCCCCCACAUUGGAACUAAGACACGGUCCAAACUCCUACGGGAGGCAGCAGUGAGGAAUAUUGGUCAAUGGACGAGAGUCUGAACCAGCCAAGUAGCGUGAAGGAUGAAGGUCCUACGGAUUGUAAACUUCUUUUAUAAGGGAAUAAACCCUCCCACGUGUGGGAGCUUGUAUGUACCUUAUGAAUAAGCAUCGGCUAACUCCGUGCCAGCAGCCGCGGUAAUACGGAGGAUGCGAGCGUUAUCCGGAUUUAUUGGGUUUAAAGGGAGCGCAGACGGGUCGUUAAGUCAGCUGUGAAAGUUUGGGGCCCAACCUUAAAAUUGCAGUUGAUACUGGCGUCCUUGAGUGCGGUUGAGGUGUGCGGAAUUCGUGGUGUAGCGGUGAAAUGCUUAGAUAUCACGAAGAACUCCGAUUGCGAAGGCAGCACACUAAUCCGUAACUGACGUUCAUGCUCGAAAGUGUGGGUAUCAAACAGGAUUAGAUACCCUGGUAGUCCACACGGUAAACGAAGGAUACUCGCUGUUGGCGAUAUACUGUCAGCGGCUUAGCGAAAGCGUUAAGUAUCCCACCUGGGGAGUACGCCGGCAACGGUGAAACUCAA
rnacentral:rRNA from 1 species